GAGUCAUAGAGACGGCGUUACCGAGAAAAGACUCAUAAAACGAUUUUCACAAUAAAAAUAAAAAGUCUCUUCUACUUCUCCUCCUAUUCCUCCUCAUUCAUUCUUCAUCUAUUGGCUUUCCAAAAUAGCCCCAAAAUUACGAAACCCUAGCCUUUUUCUCUCUUCAUCUUUAUAGCCAUAUAUACGUAUAUACACAUCCAUAAAUAGAUAGGGAUAUUAUUGUAAAUUGAAAGAACCGAGGGAGAUCUGUUGAUUUCCCUGGAUCUGCUUUUGGGAAAUUUUGACUGAAUAGCUUGAUGAAUAAUGGCCAUUCAGAUGGAUAACAGUUUAGGUCAUUCGCCACGGGAACGUGUUCAGCGGCUCUUCAACAAGAAUGUGGAGUUGGAGAACAAGCGUAGGAAAGCAGUACAAGCUAAAGUUCCUUCUGACCCAAACGCAUGGCAACAAAUGCGUGAAAACUAUGAAGCUAUCAUCCUCGAGGAUCACGCUUUUUCUGAACAACAUGAAAUAGAGUAUGCCUUGUGGCAGCUGCAUUAUAGAAGAAUUGAGGAACUGCGUGCACGCUUUAAUGCUGCAAUAGCUUCAAAUGGAUCAACUACUUCUCAGACUGGGAAAGGUCCGCCUCGCAACGGGACAGAUAGCAUCACAAAGAUCCGCACGCAGUUCAAGACUUUUCUCUCAGAAGCAACUGGCUUUUAUCAUGAUUUGAUGGUGAAGAUCAGGGCAAAGUAUGGCCUGCCACUAGGAGGUUUCUCUGAUGAUCCAGGGAAUCAGAUUCCUUCUUCAAAUGAUGUUAAUAAAUCUAUUGAGGUGAAGAAAGGCUUGAUAUCCUGCCAUCGUUGUUUGAUUUAUCUGGGUGAUCUUGCUCGGUACAGAGGCUUAUAUGGUGAGGGUGACUCUAAAGCUCGUGACCUUGCGGCAGCAUCAAGUUAUUACCUGCAAGCUUCUUCACUGUGGCCCUCAAGCGGCAAUCCUCAUCAUCAGCUUGCAAUACUGGCUUCCUAUUCCAGUGAUGAGUUGGUGGCGAUCUAUCGCUAUUUUCGUAGUCUUGCUGUUGAGAAUCCUUUUACGACUGCAAGGGACAACCUGAUCAUUGCAUUUGAGAAGAAUCGUCAGUGUUACUCCCAGCUACCAGGGGAUGCUAAGGCUUCAUCUAUCAAGGCAGCUCCUUCACGAACAACGGGUAAAGGACGAGGUAAAAGUGAAAUAAGGCAGUCUCAAAAAGAUGAAAAGGUUGAAGCAAGUGUAGCGAAGGAAAAAGGUUCAAGUAUAUCUGAAAUCUUCAAAACCUUCAGCACAGGGUUUGUUCGGUUGAAUGGUAUUCUCUUCACACGCACUAGCUUGGAGACCUUUGAAGAAGUGCUGUCAAUUGUUAAGAAUGAUCUGCUUGAGCUUCUCUCAUCUGGGUCUGAUGAGAAGUAUAGUUUUGGUUCAGAUGCUACGGACUGCAGACUGGCAAUUGUCAGGCUCGUGGCUAUCUUAAUAUUCACCAUCCAUAAUGUGAUUAAGGAAAGUGAUAAUCAGUCAUAUGCUGAGAUUCUACAGAGAUCAGUUCUUCUACAGAAGGCAUUUACUGCUGCCUUUGAGUUCAUGGGUCAUGUGGUUGAGAGAUGUAUCCAACUAAAUGAUCCCUCGUCAAGCUUCUUAUUGCCUGGUAUCUUGGUUUUUGUAGAAUGGUUGGCGUGCCAUCAAGAUAUUGCACUUGGUAAUGAAUCAGAGGAAAAACAAGCAAGGGCUAGAUCUUUUUUCUGGAAGACCUGCAUCACUUUCUUUAAUAAGCUAUUGUCGACUGGGUCUAAGUUUGUCGAUGAAGAUGAAACAUGUUUUUUCAAUAUGAGCAGGUAUGAUGAAGGUGAGAGUGGUAAUCGUCUUGCAUUGCUGGAAGACUUUGAACUUAGAGGGUUUGUUCCUCUUCUUCCGGCACAGCUCAUCCUUGACUUCUCAAGAAAACAUUCUUUUGGUGGUGAUAGUGGAAGUAAAGAGAAGAAGGCACGUCUUCAGAGGAUGAUAGCUGCUGGAAAGGCUCUUGCUAAUGUGGUCAGGGUUGGAGAAGAGGGAAUAUAUUUCGACACCAGGGGAAAGAAAUUUAUCAUCGGUGUUGAUCCCCAAACUUCUGAUGAUUAUCAACUUAAUGGCUCCAUGGAAGUUGCCAAAUUAAGUGGUAUUGGACUGGAAAGUCCAGAUGUUGGACAGUUGACUGUGGGAGAUCCGCUGCCAAAGCAGCAAUUGUAUGUUGAAUGUGAGGAAGAAGACGAAGUUAUUGUUUUUAAGCCACCAGUGAUGGAAAAAGUGAAUGGCAUCUCUUCAAAUACAAUGACUUCAGCGGUUCCUGUAUCUGGUAUUAGUGCUGCCAAUGCUCCUUCUGGUGCUAGCAUGGCGUUUGUUGAUAAGUGUUGUGAGAUGGGGCCAUUUCCGUCUGCACUUGAUGGGUUGAGGUUGCAGAAUGCUUGGAGUGCUACAAGGCUGCCAACAAGCAUUUCCCAUACCAAUACCCAAUAUGUGCAGCCAAUCCAACCAAGUACUUCAAUGUGGUCUGUAGAGCAAGGUGCUGUCAUGAAUGGAUUGGGGGGCUUGAACUUGAUGGGAAAUGGUUUUACAACAGAAGCUGAGUUGCUAAAUCAUCCAGAAAUGAUGCCACCUGCAGCAUAUUCAGUUCCUUUACCCCAGUCUGUGAAGUUCAGCACUGCAAAUAAUAUUCACUUCCAGGUUCCAGAGGCUGCUAUAUCAUCUACCUUCAGUUCAUUUACACCUUCAAUAGCUGGUUCCGAUAGCAUGAAAUCUUCACCAGUUAUCUCAACAGGAAUGAAGAAAAAUCCAGUGAGCCGACCAGUUAGACAUCUGGGUCCACCUCCAGGGUUUGGUUCUGUUGCUUCCAAAGUAGAUGACUCUUCAUCUGCCUUGACCUUAAAGAAUGAAAAUAACCCCAUUCCUCGUAUGGAUGAUUAUAGCUGGUUGAAUGGAUAUCAGUUACCUUCAACACAUCAGAGCAUUGGUUACAAUAACACGGACAAUCAUUCAACACAAACAUAUCACUCUGUGAGCAACAGUAGCAUAGCCGGGAUUAGCUUUCCUUUCCCUGGGAAACAGGUGCCCUCUCUGCACAUGCAGACAGAUAUCCAGAAAGCAAACCAACAAUCUGUUGCACUGCCUCAGCAGUAUCAAGGACAGUCCCUGUGGCAAGAUCGUUUCUUUGUGUGACAUGGAUAGGGAGACUAGAUGGUUAACAAAUUACUGGGGAGAAUGAUCACUAGCCCGUUGCUACAAAGUUCAACCAUCAUAUUGCAGUAUGGUCAAGGUUAUUAUGUUUUUGUUGCAGCAUGGAUGGUCUUGGAUUGUUGCAGGCACUAGCUGUUCAGCAGUUGUGGGUUUUGGUGCAGCUUGUGCCGAGCUAUUCAAACUGGUUGAGUAGAGACCGAGGUCAGUAGGUGCAGGAAUUUGGGUGCUUUGAAAUUAUGAACCUUGUCUUGGUUUGAUUGAUAAUUGUGCGGCCGAGGGAUCAGAAUUUGGUGGAUAGCUGGUUGGAGCAGAAGCCACAGUAAAUCUACCUGGUUUAUUAAUGAUCUCGACAAAUAAGUUCUGCUACAUGUCAUUAUGAGCAACUUUCUACAGUACAUGUUUAAGGUAGAUAUCUUGGCAGUUCCGUGUCUGCCUUGUGAAGUUCUAAAAGUAUUCUGCAUAAGAUCAUGAAGAAGGAUUUGUUAUCGUUGGAGUACUUUGUGGUGGUUAGUUGAAAAUAAGUAUAGCCUUUGGCUAUCUCAACCCUUUUCGUUUGAUGGUAUUGUCCUAGUAGUGACAAUUAUCCUGUUAUGUUUGUUUUGUUGGACCAGUGAUGCGUUUUGUUACUGUUACAGUUUCUGUGGUUGGAUUAUUAAUAA